rnacentral:rRNA from 1 species
GCAUAUCAAUAAGCGGAGGAAAAGAAACCAACAGGGAUUGCCUUAGUAACGGCGAGUGAAGCGGCAACAGCUCAAAUUUGAAAGCUGGCCCUUUUAGGGUCCGCGUUGUAAUUUGUAGAGGAUGAUUCGGCGAGGGCUCCCGCCUAAGUCCCCUGGAACGGGGCGUCAUAGAGGGUGAGAAUCCCGUAUGCGGUGGGCUGCCUUAGCCAUGUGAAUCUCCUUCGACGAGUCGAGUUGUUUGGGAAUGCAGCUCUAAAUGGGAGGUAAAUUUCUUCUAAAGCUAAAUACCGGCCAGAGACCGAUAGCGCACAAGUAGAGUGAUCGAAAGAUGAAAAGCACUUUGGAAAGAGAGUUAAAAAGUACGUGAAAUUGUUGAAAGGGAAGCGCUUGCAACCAGACUUGUCCGCAGUUGCUCAGCCGGUCUCCUGACCGGCGUACUCUUCUGCGGCCAGGCCAGCAUCAGUUCGGGCGGUCGGAUAAAGACCUCGGGAAUGUAGCUCCUCUCGGGGAGUGUUAUAGCCCGGGGUGGAAUGCGGCCAGCCUGGACUGAGGAUCUCGCUUCGGCAAGGAUGCUGGCGUAAUGGUUGUAAGCGGCCCGUCUUGAAACACGGACCAAGGAGUCUAACAUCUAUGCGAGUGUUUGGGUGUCAAACCCAUACGCGUAAUGAAAGUGAACGGAGGUGGGAACCCGCAAGGGCGCACCAUCGGCCGAUCCUGAUGUCUUCGGAUGGAUUUGAGCAAGAGCAUAGCUGUUGGGACCCGAAAGAUGGUGAACUAUGCCUGAAUAGGGUGAAGCCAGAGGAAACUCUGGUGGAGGCUCGCAGCGGUUCUGACGUGCAAAUCGAUCGUCAAAUUUGGGUAUAGGGGCGAAAGACUAAUCGAACCAU